GACGAACGCUGGCGGCGUGCUUAACACAUGCAAGUCGAACGAAGUGGCGCACGGGUGAGUAACGCGUAAUCAACCUGCCCUUAAGAGGGGGACAACAGUUGGAAACGACUGCUUAUACCGCAUACUGAAGGUGGGUAUUGCGUCUGAUUAGCUCGUUGGAGGGGUAACGGCCCAACAAGGCGAUGAGCAGUAGCCGGUCUGAGAGGAGGAACGGCCACAUUGGGACUGAGACACGGCCCAAACUCCUACGGGAGGGAGCAGUGGGGAAUCAUCCGAAAUGGACGAAAGUCUGACGGAGCAAAGCCGCGUGAGUGAUGACGGCCUUCGGGUUGUAAAACUCUGUUAAUCGGGACGCGUUACCGGAAUAGAAAGCCACGGCUAACUACGUGCCAGCAGCCGCGGUAAUAC
rnacentral:rRNA from 1 species